AUAUAUUCCAUUGAGAACAGAAGCAUCUUUAUUGCAAAUGAGAUGUGUACAAUUUGUUAAAUUUCGGAAUUUUUCCAACUUAUUAUACGGCUAUGUUCUCGUCGAGAAGUGAUUCUUACAUUCAUAAUAAAUAGAAAAUAGUUAAUUUUAUUCUAAUUUGCUAUUUUGAUAAUGAAAGUGAAAUAUUUAUUUAUUUUAUUAUUUUUCUGUCUCGAAGUGAGAACUGCACUUUCUGAUCUGGACAAACAGCUAUACAUUGCUCUUGACCGAGGUCAUCAAAAGUAGAUUCGACGUUUUGAUUGUUAAACGUGCUGAAUUUUCGUAUCAAGUUUAAACGCAUCGACGGUUGAUUACGGUAUUCAUGGGCCAAUGAAUAGUCCGUAUGACAUUGAUGUAAAAUGAUGUGUGAAAACAUCAUAUACAUGCUUUCGUCGUUGAAACCGUUCCGCAUCGAGCGAUUAGUCAACUGUGAGAAUCCAGAACAUUAUCAUCCAUUGUGGAUUCAUUUACCAUCAAUUGAUGUGUCGAUUGAUAUGGUAAAUGACACAAAAGCAAUCAAAUGUCGAAUCGAAAAUGGAGCAAAUGUUAAUGCAGAAGGUGGGGUAGAUUUGGACUAACAUGAUUCUAUUUCCGCAAUUCAAUCAAGUGGCAAGAGAAGAUGAUCACUGAAAGUCAGCCACUAGCGGCGUAGAAUAUUGGUCUCAACCUGGAAAGCUCGGAGCGAACAAAAACUUUAAAGUGCAAAUUAAAGGGUAGCAGUCGUUUACUCCUCGUUUGUUUUCCAACACUAACGCAUUCAACUCUAUCAAAAGAGAAACAAAACAUCGUAUUAAAUUUUGUUACAGCAAAAUUAAUUCGAUUAUUUGUUCGAAAUAUUUGAAAAUUACCUUCAAAUGAGGCGCUGAACAGUUGUUGCUCCAGAUCAGAAAGUGCAGUUCGUACUUCGAAACAGAAAAAUAAUAAAAUAACUAAAUAUUUUAAUUUCAUUAUCACAAAAGUAAAUAAGAAUACAUAUUAAAUAUUUUAAAUUUAUUUCACUGAAAUGCAAAAAUCCAUUCAUAUAGAGAACACGAUCUAUAAAAUUAUAAAAAAUCAGAAAUUUCUCUGAAUUUAGCAAAUUGUACACAUCUCAUUCGCAAUAAAAAUGCUUCUGUUCUCAAUGGAA